GAUGAACGCUGGCGGCGUGCCUAACACAUGCAAGUCGAGCGUGAACCGUCUGAAUGAAACUUCGGUCGAGUGAGGAUGGGGAAAGCGGCGGACGGGUGAGUAACGCGUAGGCAACCUGCCCCGUACAGAGGGAUAGCCUCGGGAAACCGGGAUUAAGACCUCAUAAUACCAUUAUCUCACAUGUGAUAAUGGUCAAAGAUUUUAUCGGUAUGGGAUGGGCCUGCGUCUGAUUAGCUGGUUGGUGGGGUAACGGCUCACCAAGGCGACGAUCAGUAGCCGACCUGAGAGGGUAAUCGGCCACAUUGGAACUGAGACACGGUCCAAACUCCUACGGGAGGCAGCAGUGGGGAAUAUUGCACAAUGGGCGAAAGCCUGAUGCAGCAACGCCGCGUGAGCGAGGAAGGCCUUUGGGUCGUAAAGCUCUGUCGAGGAGGAAGAUAAUGACGGUACUCCUCGAGGAAGCCCCGGCUAACUACGUG
rnacentral:rRNA from 1 species